GACGAACGCUGGCGGCGUGCCUAAUACAUGCAAGUCGAGCGGAACUGGGGGAGCUUGCUCCUUCCAGUUUAGCGGCGGACGGGUGAGUAACGCGUGGGCAACCUGCCCUGCAGAUCGGGAUAACUCCGGGAAACCGGUGCUAAUACCGAAUAGUUUGGCGCCUCUCCUGAGGCGCUACGGAAAGACGGUUUCGGCUGUCACUGCAGGAUGGGCCCGCGGCGCAUUAGCUAGUUGGUGGGGUAACGGCCCACCAAGGCGACGAUGCGUAGCCGACCUGGGAGGGUGACCGGCCACACUGGGACUGAGACACGGCCCAGACUCCUAGGGGAGGCAGCAGUAGGGAAUCUUCCGCAAUGGACGCAAGUCUGACGGAGCAACGCCGCGUGAGUGACGAAGGUUUUCGGAUCGUAAAACUCUGUUGUGAGGGAAGAACACGUACCAACUAACUAUUGGUACCUUGACGGUACCUCACCAGAAAGCCACGGCUAACUACGUGCCAGCCGCCGCCGUAA
rnacentral:rRNA from 1 species